AUUCCAGCUCCAAUAGCGUAUAUUAAAGUUGUUGCAGUUAAAAAGCUCGUAGUUGGAUUUCUGGACGGAGCGACCGGUCUGCCGUUUAUACGGUGUGUACUUGUGUUCGACUCUGUCCAUCCUCUGGGAGAGCGCGUCUGGCAUUCAGUUGUCGGGCGCGGGAUCCUCGUCAUUUACUGUGAGCAAAAUAGAGUGUUCAAAGCAGGCUUAGGCCGUUGAAUACAUUAGCAUGGAAUAAUAAGAUAGGACCUUGGUCUAUUUUGUUGGUUUGCAUUCCAAGGUAAUGAUUAAUAGGGAUAGUUGGGGGUAUUCGUAUUCAAUUGUCAGAGGUGAAAUUCUUGGAUUUAUGGAAGACGAACUACUGCGAAAGCAUUUACCAAGGAUGUUUUCAUUA
rnacentral:rRNA from 1 species